GUGGAGGGGGGACAGGUCCUAGUAACUACUGUCCAACUGGGUGGAGGGGGGGACAGGACCUAGUAACUACUGUCCAACUGGGUGGAGGGGGGGGGACAGGUCCUAGUAACUACUGUCCAACUGGGUGGAGGGGGGACAGGUCCUAGUAACUACUGUCCAACUGGGUGGAGGGGGGGGACAGGUCCUAGUAACUACUGUCCAACUGGGUGGAGGGGGGACAGGUCCUAGUAACUACUGUCCAACUGGGUGGAGGGGGGACAGGUCCUAGUAACUACUGUCCAACUGGGUGGAGGGGGGGGACAGGUCCUAGUAACUACUGUCCAACUGGGUGGAGGGGGGGACAGGACCUAGUAACUACUGUACAACUGGGUGGAGGGGGGGACAGGUCCUAGUAACUACUGUCCAACUGGGGUGGAGGGGGGACAGGACCU